GGGUCUACUUCGCUAACUGUAGUCCGGGUCGAUCUGAGCCAUUGAAGCAAGCUUCCAGAUCUUCCAGGGCUAGAGCUGCCGCGGUGACACC
rnacentral:pre_miRNA from 1 species